AGCGGUGAGCAAGGUGACCAGCCAGUUCUAAGGAAGGAGAAGGUGGUACUGAGUGUGUGCUCUGGGGGCUGCCUUAAAUGGGGAGUUCCAUCGGUUUUCCGCAGAGCACUAAAUGGAGCAACACACAGCAGGGGGAGGAGGUGGAGAUGUAGGAGCGGCAGAAGCUUAAUCCUGCGUGAAUCCCUUUUUUGUCAGCCAUUUCCAAGCAGUUUUAGCACUAGGUUGUGAACCAGAUAAUCCUGUGCGCCUGGACAACACCCUCGUGUGAGGUCAUGCUAAAUAAUCUGAUUACAUCUACAUUAUUGCUUUUGGGCAUUGUAUCCAGGAAGAAUUGCGUGCUUCCAGAAGGGUGAUGCCGAAGUCACUGAAAUCCCCAGGGAUCCACAAUGACUGUUAGUAGGUUCACUUUGGUGAUCCCUGAGGUACUAAGAUAUGUGCAUGUCAGCCAGAGUGCUCACAGCUCU